GCUGGACAUGGAGGUGCACACCAGUAGCCUCAGCUACUGGGAGGCUGGCUGAUCUCUUGAACUUGGGAGUUCUGAACUGCAGUGGGCUAUGCUGAUUGAGCAUCUGCACUAAGUUCUGCAUCAACAUGGUGAGACCUCUGGAGUGAGGAUUCACCAGGUUGCCUGAGGACGGGCAAACCAGCCCAGGUCAAAAAUAGAGAAAGUCACAGAUGUUACACAGGUCAGUAGUGGGAUUGAACCUUUAAGAAGCCCCUGCAGUUUCAACCAGGUGAGACAGAGAGACCUAC
rnacentral:SRP_RNA from 1 species